ACAAAGAGCCAGGAAACCAAGCAAAGAGAAACACAGACUCCUUUGGAAAGACUGACUACGCCUCUUUCUACUGCAAGUAAAUCAGUACAAGUCAAUGGAGCAGCCACAGAACUUCGAAAGCCGAGUUAUGCUGAAAUUUGCCAGAGAAGUGCUAAAGAAUCUCUAACACUACAACCACAGAAGGAGCAAAAACCCAACACUGCAGCUAGCAACAAGGAUGACAAAAAAGUUCCAGAAAACCCAGUUGACAAAGAAUCUAAAAAUAAAGACCUAUCUAUUGGAAAGACAAACCCAGGGAAGCCUAGAGACCAGCGAAGACAAUCGGGUCGCAGAACACCCCCUCAGGGCAUCAACAAGCGUACAAAUAAAGAGCAACACACGCCCCCAAAAUCACCCAACUGAAGGUGCUGAAAUUGUGGCAUUGAUUUUAAAAAGGUCUGGUCUGUUCAAGUGUAAAUCCCUUCUCCCCCACCCCCCCCCCCCCCCCCCCCCCCCCACCCCCCCCCCCCCCCCCCCCCAACCAAGUCUCCAAUCAGAGCACAGAGGUUGUUGAAAUAAUGGGUUGCUGGAAAAGGGCUUAAAGGCAACAAAUGCACUUUGUGUUGAGAGAGUGUAAUACUACUUGCCUUAGGCUACAACUUUUCAGUAUUUGGUGAAAUGUUGCGUAAUGUCUACUGUAACUUAAUCUCUUGCUCAGUUGUGGAUUGGGAAAAUUCUUUGCCCAUUUGAAGGUGGGGGAAUAAAUGGAACCAUGAUCAGCAAACUGGCACGAACAUUAUGCUGUGCGCCAGAAUGUGGUUUUUUGUUCAGUGUGAUUUUGUUUGCUGUAAUUACACAAGAAUAAAGGGGGAGCAGUGGAUGUUGGAUCUACUUCCAUGGUGUUGAGCAGUGUUGCAAGUGGUUUUCUGUUCUACACAUCUAUUUAGCACAGUGUGAUCAGUGUGUGAAUGCUGACAUAUAUAUAAUUUUUUUUUAAUAUAGGGUAGUGGCUUGAAGUACAAAAAACUCAAACCCAUUAAUUAGGUGUUAGUGGGAAGUGAUUGGAGUCAUAACCUGGAUGGUAGAUUUAACACAAGCUGUCUUUCUUUCCUUUUCUGUUGUAUAGAUUUCUGUUGAUCUUGAUGCUUCAGAGUUUACUUUUGCACUGUUGAUAGCAGUCAGUUGAUCUUGAAUAAGAGUAAGGCUACUGUCUAACAUGUAACAUAGUGAUUAUGAAUCACUACAAAAGACUGGUUUAUGUACCUCUGUGCUCUAAAGUAGGUGGCAAUGUUUUUAUUUUUAAUGUUCAUUUCCAAGUGCUUUUUUCUUUAAAGAGAAACUCCCAGUCAAUACACUGGCACUUUCCUGUAAUUGGUACAUUGUAAAGUACUUGAAAUGGGGUGAGAAUUAAAGAUUGGAGUAGAAUUUGCCUGAAUUUUCACCAUUUUUUUGUCUAAUUGCCAGUUUUUUUCUAAUAGUGAUUCAUCUCUGCUGUGGAAAAUGUUAGAUUAGUUGUUGAGUUGUCCUUUUGAAAUAUAUUUUAAAAGAAAGUGUGCACUGAGUCUACUGCCAUCUACUAAGUUGCAGGUAAUAUGUGGAUGCUUCUUCUUUUGCUACGCAAGAAGAAAGUAUUGGCUUUUUAAAAACACCUAUGGCUAGUUGUCAUAGUAACCCAGACUAAAGUAACUGCUCAAAAGACAAGGCAGUACAGUACUAGAUACAAGCUUGCUGGUCAUAGGAGAAAAUGGGUAAGUUAUUCCAUAAAGGGUAUUAUUAUUUCAACAACUGUGUUCUUUUCAUGCUAUAAAUUAAUUUCCAUCCAGUGUCAAAAUGAGAAACUUGAAUUUCAUUUUAAACUUGAAAAUGACUUUGCCUUAACUUUUGUAUGAGACAGGUUUAGAUGUUGUUAUAACUGACCCCAGAGGGUUGGAUUGGGCAAGAUAAGGUUACUCAGUUACAUCUACUGUCACUAGUCUUACUGGGUAAAUCAGAUGUGUGCGAACUAGCAGUAAAUAGCAUUUUUUUGUAAUAUAAUUUAUGAAAGAUCUUAAAAGUUGGAUCCUUUUUUCAGAUUGUUAAAAACCCUGUAAAUGCAAAAAUAGUCAAUACUGUAUUAAACUUGUGCACUUGGAAGUGUGUGCUUUGCUUGUACAGUUGUAAAUAAUCAGAACAUAUAAAAGGUACCUUUAAAAAAAACUGAUAUAAAAAUAUUGAUAUUGUUGGCAUAUCCUCAAUGUUGCUGUUGAGCUGGAUGUAGCAAAAAAAUUAAGUGUUGUAGUCUGGAUAUGUUUUCCUGGUGUGCUGAACUGAUUCUGCCUUCACUGCAAAAGGGGAAAUUGGGGAAAUGCAACAGUAAACAAAUGGCAGUUAUGACAGAUUUCCCACUAACUCUCCUCCCUCUUCAGUUUUUCACUUUCCUAUCCUUCUUUCUACCACCCCCCUCCAAAAAAAAAACUUAGUUACUAAUAAAACAGGUACUAAAACUUCUGUUGGCCUGUUGAUUUGCAUAAUUAUUUUUAAAUCGUAAUUAACAUCUCAGGUAACAUUAAAAUGCACACAUCAAACAAGAUGAAAUUAUGUAUAGAAAAAUGAUAUAAUUGAAUGGUAGAAAAUAUUAAAGCAGUUGUGCCAUUGCAUUCUUUUACUAAGUACUCUUUUUUCCCCUGCUGCUAGUGUGCAGCAGUUUGACAACUUGUAUUGGGUUAAAAUCAACUGUGGGUUAAUUUGCUUGGCUGCUGAAAGUAUGGUGAUCAACAGCUGCAUCUGGUGAGAAUUGCUGAUCACACAACCAAUUCAUUAUCUUGUAGCCAACUGGUACUUUUUUUUUAUUGUGAUGUUCAGCAUCCUGCUAUAAGUGUGAGUGCACUGUUAAUUAUUUGCUGUUUUUUUUGUGAAGGGCACACAAUUACUUGAUUUCUCCUACUGGAGCAGGGAACUUUGACCGUAUCAGAACAGGAGGUUGCAGUGGGUACUGUUAUUUCCAUGACAGCUGAAUAUGAAAUUGCAUUGAUUGUCACGUCUGCAUAAGUUGCUGUGUCAUUAAGCACUGGUGUUAACUUGAUCUCAGCAGGAUGAUUGAAACAGUGGGUCAAGCACUAAAAAUGAGUAAACAACCAACAUAAAACAAUUAUUGUUCAUAUGUUGCACCUCAGUAAAGUUGCACAGAAUAACAAACUACACAAUGUAUUGUGAAUGCCGCAACAGUACUAGACAAUUGUCACUGAGCUGUUAACAAUCUGCAGCUAAUCAUAAUGACCCCCUUUUGUCUGUCGGCAUGUAAUGCAGUUAUGAAAGCAGGAGAUGGCCAUGAUGCCUACUGCUGUAUUUACUUCAGCUUGUUGCAAUUUUGUGUACUGUAACCAAUUACACUAACAGCAGUGGACAAUUGAGGAUUAUUAGGGGAGGUAAUGGCAGAACCUGCUUUGGAGUAGAAAUCUUUUGGAAGCAUUGAGGGGUUUUUUGUUUUGUUGUCUUAAAAUGCUGCGAUACAAACUGGAAUCAAGCUUACAUGUAAACUAUUGGUAAUUUAAUUUUUCUUUGUGUCACAAUGCAAAACUGUCUCAUUUGAAAAUGUAGCUUAAGAAAAAUAAAUUGAGUUAGCAAUUGUAAA